rnacentral:rRNA from 1 species
AUUGAACGCUGGCGGCAUGCUUUACACAUGCAAGUCGAGCGGCAGCGCGGGGGGCAACCCUGGCGGCGAGCGGCGAACGGGUGAGUAAUGCAUCGGAACGUACCCUGGAGUGGGGGAUAACGCCGCGAAAGCGGCGCUAAUACCGCAUAUGCUCUGAGGAGGAAAGUGGGGGACCACAAGGCCUCACGCUCUGGGAGCGGCCGAUGUCCGAUUAGCUAGUUGGUGAGGUAAAGGCUUACCAAGGCGACGAUCGGUAGCUGGUCUGAGAGGAUGAUCAGCCACACUGGGACUGAGACACGGCCCAGACUCCUACGGGAGGCAGCAGUGGGGAAUCUUGCGCAAUGGGCGAAAGCCUGACGCAGCAACGCCGCGUGGGGGAUGAAGGCUCUCGGGUUGUAAACCCCUUUCAGCAGGGACGAAUCAAGACGGUACCUGCAGAAGAAGCCCCGGCUAACUACGUGCCAGCAGCCGCGGUAAU